rnacentral:rRNA from 1 species
AGAGUUUGAUUCUGGCUCAGGACAAACGUUGGCGGCGUGCCUAAGACAUGCAAGUCGUACGGGACUUAUUUAGCAAUAGAUGAGUCUAGUGGCAAACGGGUGAGUAAUGCAUGGGUAACUUCCCUUUAAGAUCGGGACAACCACCUGAAAGGGUGGCUAAUACCGGAUGUGGUGAAGAGAUCGCAAGUUCUUUUCAUUAAAGAUGGCCUCUAUUUAUAAGCUAUCGCUUAAAGACAGGCCCAUGUUCAAUUAGCUUGUUGGUGAGGUAACGGCUCACCAAAGCUACGAUUGAUAGCCGGCCUGAGAGGGUGUUCGGCCACACUGGGACUGCGACACGGCCCAGACUCCUACGGGAGGCAGCAGUCGGGAAUCUUCCGCAAUGGGCGAAAGCCUGACGGAGCGACGCCGCGUGAAGGAUGAAGGUCUUCGGAUUGUAAACUUCUUUUAGCAAGGAAUAAAUGCAUUAUGGUUAAUAUCCAUAGUGUUUGACGGUACUUGCAGAAAAAGCUUCGGCUAACUCUGUGCCAGCAGCCGCGGUAAUACAGAGGAGGCAAACGUUGUCCGGAUUCACUGGGCGUAAAGGGAUUGUAGGUGGCCAAUUAAGUCAGAUGUGAAAUCGUAUUGCUCAACAACACAAUUGCAUUUGAUACUGAAUGGCUUGAGUGCAGGAAGGGAAAUUGGAAUUUGCGGUGUAGCGGUGAAAUGCGUAGAUAUCGCAAAGAACACCCGUGGCGAAGGCGGAUUUCUGGCCUGCAACUGACACUGAGGAUCGAAAGCUAGGGGAGCGAACAGGAUUAGAUACCCUGGUAGUCCUAGCUGUAAACUAUGUAUACUAGGUGUAGGAUGUUCAUUCAUUCUGUGCCGCCGCUAACGCAUUAAGUAUACCGCCUGGGGACUACGAUCGCAAGAUUGAAACUCAAAGAAAUUGACGGGGGUCCGCACAAGUGGUGGAGCAUGUGGUUUUAUUCGACGCAACGCGAAGAACCUUACCCAGGCUUGACAUGCUUGUGACCGGUAUCUGAAAGGAUACCUUUUGGCCUUCGGGUCGACACAAGUACAGGUGUUGCAUGGUUGUCGUCAGCUCGUGCCGUGAGGUGUUGGGUUAAGUCCUCUAACGAGCGCAACCCCUAUUGCUAGUUGCCAUCAGGUAAUGCUGGGAACUCUGGCGAGACUGCCUGGGAUAACCAGGAGGAAGGUGGGGAUGACGUCAAAUCAUCAUGGCCCUUAUGUCUGGGGUGACACACGUGCUACAAUGGCAGGUACAGCGGGUUGCGAAACCGUGAGGUGGAGCCAAUCCCUAAAAGCCUGUCCCAGUUCGGAUUGGAGUCUGAAAUUCGACUCCAUGAAGUUGGAAUCACUAGUAAUCGUGGAUCAGCCACGCCACGGUGAAUACGUUCCCGGACCUUGUACACACCGCCCGUCACACCACGAAAGUUAUUUGUACCAGAAGACAUCAAUCUAACCAGCAAUGGAGGUAGAUGGCCAAGGUAUGAAUAAUGAUUGGGGUGAAGUCGUAACAAGGU